AGAGUUUGAUCAUGGCUCAGGACGAACGCUGACGGUGUGCUUUAGACAUGCAAGUCGAACGAGAAAGCCCUUCGGGGUGAGUACAGUGGCGAACGGGUGAGUAACACGUGGGUAACCUGCCCCUCGCAGGGGGACAACCGGGGGAAACCCCGGCUAAUACCCCGUACGCUCCGAGGUCCGCAUGGUCCUCGGAGGAAAGGUAGCUUCGGCCAUCCGGCGAGGGAUGGGCCCGCGGUCCAUUAGCUAGUUGGUGGGGUAAUGGCUCACCAAGGCGACGAUGGAUAGCUGGUCUGAGAGGAUGAUCAGCCACACUGGGACUGAGACACGGCCCAGACUCCUACGGGAGGCAGCAGUCGGGAAUCUUGCGCAAUGGGCGAAAGCCUGACGCAGCAACACCGUGUGGGCGACGAAGGCCUUCGGGUCGUAAAGCCCUGUUGUUGGGGACGAAGGGCGAAGGGUUAAUAGCCCCUAGCUUGACGGUACCCUUCGAGGAAGCCCCGGCUAACUACGUGCCAGCAGCCGCGGUAAUACGUAGGGGGCGAGCGUUGUCCGGAAUUAUUGGGCGUAAAGAGCGUGUAGGCGGUUUGGUAAGUCUGCCGUGAAAACCCGGGGCUCAACCCCGGGCGUGCGGUGGAUACUGCCAGGCUAGAGGAUGGUAGAGGCGAGUGGAAUUCCCGGUGUAGCGGUGAAAUGCGCAGAUAUCGGGAGGAACACCAGUAGCGAAGGCGGCUCGCUGGGCCAUUCCUGACGCUGAGACGCGAAAGCUAGGGGAGCGAACAGGAUUAGAUACCCUGGUAGUCC
rnacentral:rRNA from 1 species